UACGGAAGGCAGCAGGGGGAAUAUUGCACAAUGGGCGCAAGCCUGAUGCAGCGACGCCGCGUGAGGGAUGAAGGCCUUCGGGUUGUAAACCUCUUUCAGUAGGGAAGAAGCCGGCCUUUCGGGGUUGGUGACGGUACCUGCAGAAGAAGCGCCGGCUAACUACGUGCCAGCAGCCGCGGUAAUACGUAGGGCGCAAGCGUUAUCCGGAAUUAUUGGGCGUAAAGAGCUCGUAGGCGGUUUUGUCGCGUCUGCCGUGAAAGUCCGGGGCUUAACCCCCGGAUCUGCAGUGGGUACGGGCAGACUAGAGUGCAGUAGGGGAGACUGGAAUUCCUGGUGUAGCGGUGAAAUGCGCAGAUAUCAGGAGGAACACCGAUGGCGAAAGGGCAGGUCUCUGGGCUGUAACUGACGCUGAGGAGCGAAAGCAUGGGGA
rnacentral:rRNA from 1 species